rnacentral:rRNA from 1 species
UAAACAGAACCCUUCGGGGUGAUGUUUAUGGAAUGAGCAGGCGGACGGGUGAGUAACACGUGGGCAACCUGCCUGUAAGAUCGGGAUAACUCGCGGAAACGUGAGCUAAUACCGGAUAACACUUUUCAUCUCAUGGUGAGAAGAUAAAAGACGGUUUCGGCUGUCACUUACAGAUGGGCCCGCGGCGCAUUAGCUAGUUGGUGAGGUAACGGCUCACCAAGGCGACGAUGCGUAGCCGACCUGAGAGGGUGAUCGGCCACACUGGGACUGAGACACGGCCCAGACUCCUACGGGAGGCAGCAGUAGGGAAUCUUCCGCAAUGGACGAAAGUCUGACGGAGCAACGCCGCGUGAGUGAUGAAGGUUUUCGGAUCGUAAAACUCUGUUGUUAGGGAAGAACAAGUUGGGUAGUAACUGACCCAACCUUGACGGUACCUAACCAGAAAGCCACGGCUAACUACGUGCCAGCAGCCGCGGUAAUACGUAGGUGGCAAGCGUUGUCCGGAAUUAUUGGGCGUAAAGCGCUCGCAGGCGGUCUUUUAAGUCUGAUGUGAAAGCCCACGGCUUAACCGUGGAGGGUCAUUGGAAACUGGAGGACUUGAGUACAGAAGAGGAGAGUGGAAUUCCACGUGUAGCGGUGAAAUGCGUAGAGAUGUGGAGGAACACCAGUGGCGAAGGCGACUCUCUGGUCUGUAACUGACGCUGAGGAGCGAAAGCGUGGGUAGCGAACAGGAUUAGAUACCCUGGUAGUCCACGCCGUAAACGAUGAGUGCUAGGUGUUAGGGGGUUUCCGCCCCUUAGUGCUGAAGUUAACGCAUUAAGCACUCCGCCUGGGGAGUACGGCCGCAAGGCUGAAACUCAAAAGAAUUGACGGGGGCCCGCACAAGCGGUGGAGCAUGUGGUUUAAUUCGAAGCAACGCGAAGAACCUUACCAGGUCUUGACAUCCUCUGAUACCUCUAGAGAUAGAGUUUUCCCUUCGGGGACAGAGUGACAGGUGGUGCAUGGUUGUCGUCAGCUCGUGUCGUGAGAUGUUGGGUUAAGUCCCGCAACGAGCGCAACCCUUGAUCUUAGUUGCCAGCAUUCAGUUGGGCACUCUAAGGUGACUGCCGGUGACAAACCGGA